GAUGAACGCUAGCGGUAGGCUUAACACAUGCAAGUCGAGGGGCAGCACAGGUAGCAAUACUAGGUGGCGACCGGCGCACGGGUGAGUAACGCGUAUGCAACCUACCUAUAACUGGAGAAUAGCCCCCGGAAACGGGGAUUAAUGUUCCAUAAUGUUCAGAGACUGCAUAGUUUUUGGACUAAAGCUCCGGCGGUUAUAGAUGGGCAUGCGUGCCAUUAGCUUGUUGGUGAGGUAACGGCUAACCAAGGCUACGAUGGCUAGGGGGUCUUAAAGGAUGAUCCCCCACACUGGUACUGAGACACGGACCAGACUCCUACGGGAGGCAGCAGUGAGGAAUAUUGGUCAAUGGGCGCAAGCCUGAACCAGCCAAGCCGCGUGAAGGAUGACGGCCCUAUGGGUUGUAAACUUCUUUUGUAUGGGAAGAACCCCCCGACGUGUCGGGGUUUGACUGUACUGUACGAAUAAGCAUCGGCUAACUCCGUGCCAGCAGCCGCGGUAAAAC
rnacentral:rRNA from 1 species